rnacentral:rRNA from 1 species
CAGUCGCCACGGGAAUACAGAGGGUGCAAGCGUUAAUCGGAAUUACUGGGCGUAAAGCGCGCGUAGGUGGUUUGUUAAAUUGGAUGUGAAAUCCCCGGGCUCAACCUGGGAACUGCAUCCAAAACUGGCAAGCUAGAGUAUGGUAGAGGGUGGUGGAAUUUCCUGUGUAGCGGUGAAAUGCGUAGAUAUAGGAAGGAACACCAGUGGCGAAGGCGACCACCUGGACUGAUACUGACACUGAGGUGCGAAAGCGUGGGGAGCAAACAGGAUUAGAUACCCGCGUAGUCCCUGUCUCUUAUAA